rnacentral:lncRNA from 1 species
UCAUAUCACAUAUAUAAAGGUGUUCCUAACUUUAAACUUUACCAAAUUCUUUGAUUCGGCUUAACAGUCCCUAAGAGGACAUUUGUCGAACAUAACACAUGCAUGCUUUAAAUUUCAGAAUUCGUAAUCAAUUAGUUAUGAUUUAACCCAUACUUUUCCAUCCUUAGAACUCCGCACAACAACAACUAAUCUCCUUACUAAAACCCAUCAACUUCAAUUCAAUCAAUAAUUCAAUUCACAGUUUACAAUUCAUGAUAAUUGAUAUACAACAUAUACACUAGCUAAUGUUUAUAAACUCUAUAAAACCUUCACUUACCUCUUGUUUGCUGCAGAUUCUCAAUUUAAUAAUGCUUAACUAUAGCUUCAAUGUUAAUUUAGACUUUACUUCUAGCUGGAAUUUCAGUUCCUUGAAGUCUCCAAUUCUUUCUUAGCCGAACCAAAGUGCAUUAAGGAAUUAUGAAAUUGUUUGGGUCGGAUGGAAGCUAGCUUGAGAAGGAAUGAGAUGGAAUGAUACGGAAGUAGCUUGAAA